GACGUAGGGCGCGAGCGUUGUCCGGAUUUAUUGGGCGUAAAGAGCUCGUAGGCGGCUUGUUGCGUCGACUGUGAAAACCCGCGGCUUAACUGCGGGCUUGCAGUUGAUACGGGCAGGCUAGAGUUCGGUAGGGGAGACUGGAAUUCCUGGUGUAGCGGUGAAAUGCGCAGAUAUCGGGAGGAACACCAGUGGCGAAGGCGGCACUCUGGGCCGGAACUGACGCUGAGGAGCGAAAGCGUGGGGAGCGAACAGG
rnacentral:rRNA from 1 species